rnacentral:rRNA from 1 species
CGUGCUUAACACAUGCAAGUCGAGCGGUAAGGCCCUUCGGGGUACACGAGCGGCGAACGGGUGAGUAACACGUGGGUGAUCUGCCCUGCACUUCGGGAUAAGCCUGGGAAACUGGGUCUAAUACCGGAUAUGACCUCCGAUCGCAUGGUUGGUGGUGGAAAGAUUUAUCGGUGCAGGAUGGGCCCGCGGCCUAUCAGCUUGUUGGUGGGGUAAUGGCCCACCAAGGCGACGACGGGUAGCCGACCUGAGAGGGUGACCGGCCACACUGGGACUGAGACACGGCCCAGACUCCUACGGGAGGCAGCAGUGGGGAAUAUUGCACAAUGGGCGAAAGCCUGAUGCAGCGACGCCGCGUGAGGGACGACGGCCUUCGGGUUGUAAACCUCUUUCAGCAGGGACGAAGCGCAAGUGACGGUACCUGCAGAAGAAGCACCGGCUAACUACGUGCCAGCAGCCGCGGUAAUACGUAGGGUGCAAGCGUUGUCCGGAAUUACUGGGCGUAAAGAGUUCGUAGGCGGUUUGUCACGUCGUUUGUGAAAACUCACAGCUCAACUGUGAGCCUGCAGGCGAUACGGGCAGACUUGAGUACUGCAGGGGAGACUGGAAUUCCUGGUGUAGCGGUGAAAUGCGCAGAUAUCAGGAGGAACACCGGUGGCGAAGGCGGGUCUCUGGGCAGUAACUGACGCUGAGGAACGAAAGCGUGGGUAGCAAACAGGAUUAGAUACCCUGGUAGUCCACGCCGUAAACGGUGGGCGCUAGGUGUG